rnacentral:rRNA from 1 species
UACAGAGACUGCAAGCGUUAUUCGGAUUCAUUGGGCGUAAAGGGUGCGUAGGUGGCGAGGUUAGUCAGGUGUGAAAUCUCGGGGCUCAACCCCGAAACUGCACUUGAUACUGCCUUGCUAGAGUACUGGAGAGGAGAUUGGAAUUUACGGUGUAGCAGUGAAAUGCGUAGAUAUCGUAAGGAAGACCAGUGGCGAAGGCGAAUCUCUGGACAGUUACUGACACUGAGGCACGAAGGCCAGGGGAGCAAACGGG